rnacentral:rRNA from 1 species
AGUGAACGCUGGCGGUAUGCCUAAUACAUGCAAGUCGAACGGCAGCACAGUGAGAUUUUGCUCUUGCCGUUGGCGGGUGACGGACGGGUGACGAGUAGAUCAGAAUCUUCUUUUUCUUGGGUGACAACGUAGGGAAACUGACACUAAUACCUCAUACGACCUACGGCUUAAAUCAGUAGUUAUUGAGGCUUUUCCCGUUUGUAUUAGCUGAUGUCGGAUUAGCUAGUUGGCAAGGUAAGGGCCUACCAAGGCAACGAUGCGUAGCUGGCCUGAGAGGAUGAUCGGCCACACUGGAACUGAGACACGGUCCAGACUCCUACGGGAGGCAGCAGUGGGGAAUAUUGCACAAUGGGCGAAAGCCUGACGCAGCAACACCGCGUGAGUGAUGAAGGUCUUCGGGUCGUAAAGCUCUUUUGUUGGGAAAGAACAGAUGUAGGAUAAACUAUCGACGUCUUGACGGUACCCAAAGAAAAAGCCCCGGCUAACUUCGUG